UAGAACAGUGCUGGAAGGGGAGAAGAACAAAGAGGAAGAUGAUGUCUUGAAUGACUGUAUUUCAAUUGCACUGAAGUAAGGAGCAGAACUGGUAGGGAUGUGCAAUCUGUGCCCUGAUUUACGGCUCAAUACCUGCCACUACCGAAGGGGGCGUCACUAUGGGCAAGGAGGUGAUAUGGAUUGUGCCUGGUAUCUUUGGACAUUUCAGCCAUUGGAACUGAACAGAAGAUGCUUUUUGAAGGCCUUCUUAACCACCAUCUGUCCUCACAAAUGCUUUUCUGGAUGAAUGGGCAAAAAUCCCCACAGACACAGUCCAAAAUCUUGUAGAAAUCCUUCACAGAAGAAUGAAAGCUGUUU